GAUGAACGCUGGCGGCGUGCUUAACACAUGCAAGUCGAGCGAAGCGCUUAAGAAUGAUUCUUCGGAUGAAUUCUUUUGCGACUGAGCGGCGGACGGGUGAGUAACGCGUGGAUAACCUGCCUCAUACAGGGGGAUAACAGUUAGAAAUGACUGCUAAUACCGCAUAAGCGCACAGUGCCGCAUGGCACCGUGUGAAAAACUCCGGUGGUAUGGGAUGGAUCCGCGUUGGAUUAGGCAGUUGGCGGGGUAACGGCCCACCAAACCGACGAUCCAUAGCCGGCCUGGGAGGGUGGACGGCCACAUUGGGACUGAGACACGGCCCAAACUCCUACGGGAGGCAGCAGUGGGGAAUAUUGCACAAUGGGGGAAACCCUGAUGCAGCGACGCCGCGUGAGUGAAGAAGUAAUUCGUUAUGUAAAGCUCUAUCAGCAGGGAAGAAAAUGACGGUACCUGACUAAGAAGCCCCGGCUAACUACGUGCCAGCCGCCGCGGUAACAC
rnacentral:rRNA from 1 species